AUGCAGGCUGGGCUCAUUUUUUCUGCUCAGUCCCUGAUUUGCACUUUUGAAAAGACCCCGUGGGCUCCUGCGUGGAGAGCAGGUGGGAGGCGACCCCGGAGCUGCCCCGCGAAACCCACCCCCAACCCGGGCUUGCGCCCCAAGCCAGGGGUCCUUAGCCUCCUCCUCCCCCUCUGGCCUCACACCCUCAGCAGGAGGAAAGCUCCAGCUUCUUAUAAUGACAUGUCCACUUCCUUGGUCAUGUGCUUGCCCUCCUUCCAGAUCUUUCCCCCAGAAGAGGCCUCCUGCUCAGCCGGCUUCAUCUACCCCCUCACCCUCCGUGAAGCCCUCUCAGCUGCCCACAGCCUGGGCUGGGGUGCCAGCCACCACGGCACCUGUUCAUGGCUGCUUUCCUCUUCUCCAGGGGAUCAGCUUUCAGGGCUGAUAAAUAUUAAUGGCCAGGCAGGGUCACGGGUAGCCCCCCUGGGAGAUAGUCUUUCUGGAAGGUGCGUCCCAGCCAGGUUGCAACGGGACACCCCAGCCUGACUCCCGGCCUCCUGCCUGCCCCCUAUCCCCUGCCCGCCCCACAUCACUCAGGGGGCCUGCCUGGAGCCCCAGGAGAUCACCCAGAGCGUCAGACCUGCUCUGCUUCCCUCUUAAGGCCAGAGCUGGUCAUCCCAGGAGCCAAGCCUUGGGGUCUUGAGGAAGACAUGGAGGCAGGAAGAAGUAUUUGAACAACUAGAUGAGGGCACCUUGGCCUCAAAACCAGAAACCCCCAUCUCCUGAAGGAGUGGAAGAGCAAUCGGCUGAGAGUUCCCCUCUCAACUCUGCAUGCCUGGGACCUGGGAAGAGCCAGGGCUGCCCCGGCCCUUGGCCCCUCCACCUGUUAAGUAAAGGGGAUGAGCUGGAGAAGGUCCAAAGUCUCAACUUUCCAAAAACAGACUUUAGAAGGCAUACACUUCUUCCAGGCAGGAGUCAUUUCAGGGAGUGGGUGGGGGAGGAACAGGUGCUGGUGGGGUCCCUGCGGAGGGCGGGGGCACCUGUGUAGUUGGUGGGGCUUCCAUCGCCCCACAGCAAUGUGGGGAGGUGGGCAUGGCUGUUCCCCACACGCAGGUGUGCUCAGGUGUGCUCAGGAAAUGUGGCUCAGGCGUUCAGCCACUUGCCCGGGCCAUGCAGAGCAUAAAUGGCAGGGCUGGGAUGUCCAUCCAGAUGGUGAAAUCCAGUGACAAUGCAGUGCGACGCUUGAGACUGUGGGCUCUGGAGCCAGCUAUCCUGGGUCUGAAUUUCAGUGCUGUCACUGGGAAGCUGUGUGACUUUUGGCAAGUAGCUUAGUCUCUCUGUGCCUCUUUCUCCUCUCCUAUGAAGUGGAAACGACGCAUGCGUCCCUACCUCACUGAAAGGAUUUAAGGGGAUGACAGACACAGAUUUAGAACAGAGGUGGGUAGUUGAGGAUCAGAGAUCUCCUCACUCUAAGCACGUGCGUCUUGCGUGUACCAUCCCACCGCCCGGAUGCUGCGACCCUGCACAAGGUCUGGCCCAGCCCUUCCCUCCAAAAUAUGCUUUGACUCCAGGAGCAAGUGAAGUCAGGACUCAAAGUGGGAAGUUGGGACUGUAAGUCACUGUUCCUGGUGAGCGCCGUCCUCUCGACAGCUGGAAUGUUCUAAAUCAUUCUAAGACCUGGGCAGAUUGGAAUUUUAAAAUCUGUUUCCCCUUUUAGAGCAAGCCAUGCCUAAGUAUUUCUGGCCUGUGAAAGGAAUACAGUUUCAGAGCCAGGGCAGAGAAACCACGUGCACUCACACAGCCCAAGGAAAACACCCGCCACCGAGGCCUUUUCCUUUGCGGCCCGUGUGGGCUCCAUGGGGGCUGCUGGGCAGGGAGGGGGCCCUGCAGGGAGACGGCAUACAGGGUCGGGCUGGCGGGUGGGUGGCUGGGAGCAGGGGGUGGAGGCCAGGGAGUCCGAGGUAUUCCAAAAGCCACCACGAACAGGGUUUCCAACAUCUCACCAUGUACUGACAUGAACAUAUGCCUACCCGGGGCUGAGCAAUUCCGCUCCUUGUAUCUCCCUAACAGAAACACAUUGUGUGUUUUUAACAAAAGACACAGACCAGAAUGUCUAGAGGGACACCAUUUGUGUCAGCCUGAAAUAGGACCUAUCCAAAGCUCAUCCAUCAAUAGUGGGUGGAUGAGGGGCACCUGGGUGGCUCUCUUGGUGAAAUGUCUGCCUUCAGCUCCAGUUGUGAUCCCAGGGUCCUGGGAUUGUCAUGCAUCGGGCUCCCUGCUCUGCGGGGAAUCUGCUUCUCCCUCUCCCUCUGUCUCUCCUCCUGCUUGCAUUCGCUCAUGCUCUCUCUCUCUCAAAUAAAUAAAUACAAUCUUUAAAAAAAAUAGUGGACUGGAGGAGUAAGUUAUGGCAUAGUCACCAAUGGAAUACUAUAUAACAAACAAACAAACAAACAAAAAGAAUGGAGUAUUCCUACAGGGAAAAAUAGGGAAGAAUUUCACAGACAUAAUAUAGAGCCCAAAGCCAGACUCAUAGAAGACAUACGACAUACUUCUACUUAUAUAAAGUACAAAGGCAGUCUGUACUGACACACACCACCACUUGGGUGAACCCUGAAAAUGCGGGGCUAAGUGAAAGAAGCUGCACACAAAGGACCCCGUAGUCGAUAAUUCCACUUACAUGAAAUGUUCCGAACAGGCAAAUCCACAGAGACCCAGCAGACAAGGGGUUGUCAGGGGCUGGGGGUGUGGGAGGUGAUUGAUAGUGGGUGCGGAAUUUCUUUUGGAGGUGGUGAUGUACACCUGCAAAUGUACACCUGGAAGCCACUGAAUGGCCACCACGGAACUGGGAGAUUGUGUGCCUGUGAAUUCUAUCUUGAUAAAGCUGCUGCAAAAUAAAACACCAGUUUGGUGUUAGAAGCCAGGAUGCUGGGGUGCCUGGGUGGCUCAGUGGUUGAGCAUCUGCCUUUGGCUCAGGUCAUGAACCUGAGGUCCUGGGAUCAGAUCCCGCAUUGGGCUCCCAGCCCGGAGCCUGCUUCUCCCUCUCCCUAUGUCUCUGUCUCUCUCUCUGUGUCUCUCAUGAAUAAAUAAAUAAAUAAAAUCUUAAAAAAGAAAAAAAAAAAAAAAGAGAAGCCAAGAUGCCUGGAGCUUUGGCUGUAAAGUGUUAUUCUUGGGGGCGGGAGGGGUGGGUGGCGGGCAGUGCCCAGAAGGGACCCAAGGAGGGGCUUCUGGGAGGCUGUCCAUACUUAUUUCCAGGUGCCAGUAACACAGAUGUACUCAUUUUGUGAAAUUCCCACAAGCUGUCCCCGUACAGGGAUGCACACUUUUCAGCAUGGAGGUCACCCUUCAGUGAGAGGUUUUUAAAAACAACACCACAGUCUCGUACUUAGACACACGCUUCUUCAGUCCCUUUUUUUUUUUUGUCCCCAUGGUGAGUCCAGCACCAACCAGCCACAGAAGUGAAAGACCAGGGCAGGCGGGCUGGCAGGCGGGCUUGGAAUAUCCUUCAGUGACUCAGAUGAACAGCUGGAAAGAAUCUGUGAAUCUGUUGCUGCCGGCUGCCAGCCCCCGCACCCCCCCCCCCCCGAGUCAGCGCAAGGACCUGCCACAGCCCCCCGAGUGUUCUAGGGCCCGAGAGUGAGGGAGCUGGGGCUAGGGCAGGGCCACUGGCGGAGCCAUAGGCAGGACUCGAAGGCGUCCAGCAAGCCCUGGCCAUUAGCCUCCCUGGCAGGACCCCGCGAGGGACAAGAGUGCCUUUAUUGUAGAGGCUCGGGGAGGCUGGCUGGCAGGCCAGGGGCUGAGCACACAGCAGGCUGGAUUAGAGCAGGGCUGUCAGGACAGACCUCCUGGGUUUGAAUCCAGCUCUGCCACUUUCCAGCCCUGUGACCUUGGGGACUUGUGUACCCCACCCGUGCGGGGCUUUUGUGUCCACGUUGGUAAAAUCAGGUAAAAUCGGGUAACAAUAGUGCCUGUUUUCUAGACUGUCACGAAAUCUAAACUAGAUCGUGCUGUCAGCUCCGAACAUAGCACCUGGCAUUGCGUCAGCAUCCAGCAAAUUAGCUGACUACCAUUGCACGCUGGAGGCCACGGGCUGGUUCGUAUAGUGAGCGCCUACUACAUGCCAGGCACCCUUAAGGUACCAUCUACUUUAGAUCCCGGACCCCCCCU
rnacentral:lncRNA from 1 species